rnacentral:rRNA from 1 species
UAGGGAAUCUUGCGCAAUGGGCGAAAGCCUGACGCAGCCAUGCCGCGUGAAUGAUGAAGGUCUUAGGAUUGUAAAAUUCUUUCACCGGGGACGAUAAUGACGGUACCCGGAGAAGAAGCUCCGGCUAACUUCGUGCCAGCAGCCGCGGUAAUACGAAGGGGGCUAGCGUUGCUCGGAAUUACUGGGCGUAAAGGGCGCGUAGGCGGACAGUUUAGUCAGAGGUGAAAGCCCAGGGCUCAACCUUGGAACUGCCUUUGAUACUGGCUGUCUUGAGUUCGGGAGAGGUGAGUGGAAUGCCGAGUGUAGAGGUGAAAUUCGUAGAUAUUCGGCGGAACACCAGUGGCGAAGGCGACUCACUGGCCCGAUACUGACGCUGAGGCGCGAAAGCGUGGGGAGCAAACAGGAUUAGAUACCCUGGUAGUCCACGCCGUAAACGAUGAGUGCUAGUUGUCGGCAUGCAUGCAUGUCGGUGACGCAGCU